rnacentral:rRNA from 1 species
UACAGAGGUCCCGAGCGUUGUUCGGAUUCACUGGGCGUAAAGGGUGCGUAGGUGGUGAGGUAAGUCGGAUGUGAAAUCUCCGAGCUCAACUCGGAAAUGGCAUUGGAAACUACCUUGCUCGAGGGUUGGAGGGGGGACUGGAAUACUUGGUGUAGCAGUGAAAUGCGUAGAUAUCAAGUGGAACACCAGUGGCGAAGGCGAGUCUCUGGACAUUUCCUGACGCUGAGGCACGAAAGCCAGGGGAGCAAACGGG